rnacentral:rRNA from 1 species
GAUGAACGCUGGCGGCGUGCCUAAUACAUGCAAGUCGAGCGAACGGACGAGAAGCUUGCUUCUCUGAUGUUAGCGGCGGACGGGUGAGUAACACGUGGAUAAUCUACCUAUAAUACUGGUAUCACUUCGGGAAACCGGAGCUAAUACCGGAUAACAUUUUGAACCGCAUGGUUCAAUAGUGAAAGACGGUCUUGCUGUCACUUCUAGAUGGAUCCGCGCUGCAUUAGCUAGUUGGUAAGGUAACGGCUUACCAAGGCAACGCUGCCUGUACGACCUGAGAGGGUGGUCGGCCACACUGGAACUGAGACACGGUCCAGACGCCUACGGUAGGGAGCAGUAGGGAAUCUUCCGCAACAGGCGAAAGCAUGACGGAGCAACGCCGCGUGAGUGAUGAAGGUCUUCGGAUCGUAAAACUCGGUUAUUAGGGGAGAACAUAUGUGUAAGUAACUGUGCACAUCUUGACGGUACCUAGUCAGAAAGCCACGGCUAACUACGUG